GACGAACGCUGGCGGCGUGCUUAACACAUGCCAGUCGAACGGAAAGGCCCUGCCUUUGUGGGGUGCUCGAGUGGCGAACGGGUGAGUAACACGUGAGUAACCUGCCCUUGACUUUGGGAUAACUUCAGGAAACUGGGGCUAAUACCGGAUAGGAGCUCCUGCUGCAUGGUGGGGGUUGGAAAGUUUCGGCGGUUGGGGAUGGACUCGCGGCUUAUCAGCUUGUUGGUGGGGUAGUGGCUUACCAAGGCUUUGACGGGUAGCCGGCCUGAGAGGGUGACCGGCCACAUUGGGACUGAGAUACGGCCCAGACUCCUACGGGAGGCAGCAGUGGGGAAUAUUGCACAAUGGGCGGAAGCCUGAUGCAGCAACGCCGCGUGCGGGAUGACGGCCUUCGGGGUGUAAACCGCUUUCGCCUGUGACGAAGCGUGAGUGACGGUAAUGGGUAAAGAAGCACCGGCUAACUACG
rnacentral:rRNA from 1 species